UAACUUUUAGCAGUGGGCGUAACCUUAAGUUGUCCAAGUUACACAGAACCACGCGAGACGUCAGGACGAGAUGUUGUCAUUCUGUCUUCUCUUCUGCCCGCAUAGAGAUACGGCGGCUAAAGGCGUUAUUAAAGUUGCUCAUCCAAGCGCCCUCAUGUUUGUUCGUACCAAUUUUAAUGGACGGGAAGCCGACUGACGAACAUCCUUUUCCCGAGAAAUGGUUCGGCUACGACACAUGUUAAGAAGUCACGCCAGGGGCUUAAUUAAGGUCGACCGUUUCAGCUGCAUUGAUGUGAAGUGAUGCAGUGGACAACUUGUGAGGGUGAUACCAUCCACAUGCACCUUAACUGUGAUGCAGAAAUAUAAUAGGAUGAUCCAUCUGUCUACACUUCAAACUCACAACUCAACCUUAAACAACCCAUAUCUGUUAUGGUAAAACAAUGUGGCGGUUUUCCAGACAGGGCUUAUACUGUUUCCGGGCUAAAAUGCAUGUUUGAGCUACUGUAAUUAAAAAAACACCUUGUACUGACACAUCUCAACAUA